AGCGAACGCUGGCGGCAGGCUUAACACAUGCAAGUCGAGCGGGCACUUCGGUGUCAGCGGCAGACGGGUGAGUAACACGUGGGAACGUACCCUUCGGUUCGGAAUAACGCUGGGAAACUAGCGCUAAUACCGGAUACGCCCUUUUGGGGAAAGGUUUACUGCCGAAGGAUCGGCCCGCGUCUGAUUAGCUAGUUGGUGGGGUAAUGGCCUACCAAGGCGACGAUCAGUAGCUGGUCUGAGAGGAUGAUCAGCCACACUGGGACUGAGACACGGCCCAGACUCCUACGGGAGGCAGCAGUGGGGAAUAUUGGACAAUGGGCGCAAGCCUGAUCCAGCCAUGCCGCGUGAGUGAUGAAGGCCUUAGGGUUGUAAAGCUCUUUUGUCCGGGACGAUAAUGGCGGUACCGGAAGAAUAAGCCCCGGCUAACUUCGUG
rnacentral:rRNA from 1 species